rnacentral:rRNA from 1 species
GACCGGCUGGCACCCGUCANGUAGCUCCUUCGACGAGUCGAGUUGUUUGGGAAUGCAGCUCUAAAUGGGUGGUAAAUUCCAUCUACAGCUAAAUACCGGCCAGAGACCGAUAGCGCACAAGUAGAGUGAUCGANAGAUGAAAAGCACUUUGGAAAGAGAGUUAAACAGCACGUGAAAUUGUUGAAAGGGAAGCGCAUGCUACCAGACUCGACGGCGGAAGCUCCGCCGGUCUUCUGACCACGGCCGACUCGCCGCCGUCGGGCCAGCAUCGCGUGGGCGCGCCGGACAAAGGCGCGGGGAAUGUGGCCCCCCUCUGGGGGGGUGUUAUAGCCCCGCUUGCGAUGCGGCGCCGCCCGCGCGAGGUCCGCGCUUCGGCUAGGAUGCAGGCGUAAUGGUCGCCUGCGGCCCGUCUUGAAACACGGACCAAGGAGUCUAAUAUCUGUGCGAGUGUUCGGGUGUCAAACCCCUACGCGGAAUGAAAGUGAAUGGAGGUGGGAGCUUCGGCGCACCAUCGACCGAUCCUGAUGUCCUCGGAUGGAUUUGAGUAAGAGCAUAGCUGUUGGGACCCGAAAGAUGGUGAACUAUGCCUGAAUAGGGUGAAGCCAGAGGAAACUCUGGUGGAGGCUCGCAGCGGUUCUGACGUGCAAAUCGAUCGUCAAAUUUGGGUAUAGGGGCGAAAGACUAAUCAA